rnacentral:tRNA from 1 species
GGGCUUGUGGGGUAGCCUGGUAUCCUUUCGGCUUCGGGAGUCGAAGACUCCGGUCCAAAUCCGGACAAGCCCA